CUACCCCAGGUGACUGUGAUGCUGGCUCAAGCUUGAAAACCACGGCUUUCUAGUCCGGAACAUCCUCUGGGGUCCCUUACCUGAGAACACCUGAGGACACUGUGGUCUGUCUGCGUGAACGUGUGCAGUCCCUGGGCUCUGAGAGAUAGGAGUGCGAAGAGAAGUGUCAGCCCUUAUGAGCUUCCAAUCACCUGUAGAACGUGGGACGGCCAAAUCCAAGACCAAGAGAACCAAAGACCAAGGGGGCUCCGAAAGAUCGCAAAAGUCCUGGGGAUAGAUUCAGCAAGGACAGAGACCCCAGAAGGCAGGUGGAAAGGAGAGAACAGAGCGGACAAGGACAGAUUUCGGGUCAGGAUAAAGACUGAGAACACCCGAGGGCACUGGACCAGCACUGCUCCUGUGUCUGUGCAGUGCAAGCCCGGGGCAGGGAGACGGCGCUGUGGGCUGCAGAGUGUGGCAGAAGCUCCUGACACCGUUGGAUGUGAGCUAAGCCGUGGCAGGCUGUUUCCUUGCACCAGGACGCGGGCCCAGGCCACCAUGCUUGCCCAGGCCACCACCAGUGAAACUGCAAUGAGGUUGCCACCUGUACCAGGGACUAUGGACCCCAUGAUCUACUCAGGAUGGCGUCGUCUUUGGCUUCCUGGUUUGAAUGAGACUCUUGGAACUACUGCAGCCAUCUUGCUACCAGCCGGAUGAUGAAGCCUACCCAAAACAGAGAGCAGAGCCAAGAACAGAAUUUAAAUGAAGGCAAGAUCCUGUAUGACUCUCCUCUGGAUGUGCUUUACCUAGCCCUGUGCCUGACGGCAGGUACCGCGGACAGCCUCCUUUGGGCCAAGUACUAUGCCAGCCAUCGUCAUGGGUUAACUUCCGAUCAUCCGUGUGCUAAUGACGCCCACUCUCUGAAGUCCAGACCUCUCCCUUCACAUUCACACUCCUACAUUCACAUGGCUUUCUGCAGGUCACAGGGAACAGAACAGCGAGCAAGACACAAAAGUUCCCUGAGCUCAAGGAGCCAUUUCUAAACUCAAAUCAAAAACGGAACAAACGGGUGCCUGGACGGCUGUGUCGGUGGAAAGUGCAACUCUUGAUCUCAGGGUGGUGAGUUUGAGCCCAACAUUGGGAGUAGAGAUUACUUAAGGGGAAAAAAAAAAACAACGACGAACAAAGUUGGAGGGACACAGGACUUCCAAAUUUAAAUUUUGCCAAAGGAUUUUUUUUAAUACAGCUACUACCUCAUUUAUCUUCAUCCUACUUUAAGAGAAAGAGUAUGUUAAUCCAAAAAAAUGAGUAUAUUAAUACCAAAUUUGUAGGAAGGACAUCAUCUCAAAAUAGAAAGCGCUGCCUCAAAUGGAAUGCAUGCUAUGGAAAAGUCAUUGCAUUCUCACUGUUUUUCUCGUUUUAUGAUGGAUCACAGAAAACUUCUUCCUGGGCUGGCAGAGGUCAUCAGAUCAGAUUGGGAAGCACAGGGCUGGUUCACAUUGUCACUUUUCAG